rnacentral:rRNA from 1 species
AUUGAACGCUGGCGGCAGGCCUAACACAUGCAAGUCGAACGAGUGGCGGACGGGUGAGUAAUGUCUGGGAAACUGCCUGAUGGAGGGGGAUAACUACUGGAAACGGUAGCUAAUACCGCAUACCAUCGGAUGUGCCCAAAUGGGCUUAGCUAGUAGGUGGGGUAAAGGCUCACCUAGGCCACGAUCCCUAGCUGGUCUUAUAGGAUGACCAUCCACACUGGAACUGAGACACGGUCCAGUCUCCUACGGGAGGCAGCAGUGGGGAAUAUUGCACACUGGGCGCAAGCCGGAUGCAGCCAUGCCGCGUGUAUGAAGAAGGCCUUCGGGUUGUAAAGUACUUUCGGCGGGGAGGCGUUACCCGCAGAAGAAGCACCGGCUAACUCCGUGCCAGCAGCCGCGGUAAUUC